ACUAAGCAAGAAAUGAAGACACACGUGACAUCUGAAUGCUCUUGGAGGAAAGGAAAUUGUGACUAUUGUCAAGAAUCGUUCAUUGUUAAUGACAAAAGCUGGAGGUACACAUUCGCGAUGAUUGUCCUGCAACUGAGGUUUACUGUAAAUACAAGAACUUAGGAUGUGAUGCAGAGUUUCCACGAUCAAACAGCAAAUCUCACUUGGAGUCACAAGUUGAAAGACAUUUAAGCUUAGCUCUUCAAAACCUUGAGGAUCUUACUCGCAUUGUGAAUGAACAGUCUCAGCAAAUAAAGCGAAUGAUGGUCAAAAAUGAAGAAAAGUCACUGCAAAUAAAGCGAUUGAUGAAGCGGUUGAUGUUGAAGUUUUCUGAACAGUCACAGCGAACAGAAAGGAUGGAGACGAAAUCUGUUAUUUGGAAAAUAUCCAAUUUUCGUAGUUUAAUAACAGGUGACGAA